rnacentral:tRNA from 2 species
UGGUAUAGCUCAGUUGGUAGAGCAGCUGAUUUGUAAUCAGCAGGUCGGGGGUUCGAGUCC